rnacentral:rRNA from 1 species
UACAGAGGGUGCAAGCGUUGCUCGAAUCAUUGGGCGUAAAGCGCGUGUAGGCGGUCCGGUAAGUCCGCUGUGAAAGUCGGGGGCUCAACCCUCGAAUGCCGGUGGAUACUGUCGGGCUAGAGUGCGGAAGAGGCGAGUGGAAUUCCUGGUGUAGCGGUGAAAUGCGCAGAUAUCAGGAGGAACACCAAUUGCGAAGGCAGCUCGCUGGGACGUUACUGACGCUGAGACGCGAAAGCGUGGGGAGCAAACAGG